rnacentral:rRNA from 1 species
GACGGGGGAUGCAAGUGUUAUCCGGAAUCACUGGGCGUAAAGCGUCUGCAGGUGGUUUCCUAAGUCCACUGUUAAACCUUGAGGCUCAACCUCAAAUCUGCAUUGGAAACUAGGAGACUUGAGUAUAGUAGGGGUAGAGGGAAUUUCCAGUGGAGCGGUGAAAUGCGUAGAGAUCGGGAAGAACACCCGUGGCGGAGGCGGCGUGCUGGGUUGCAACUGACGCUGAGAUGCGAAAGUGUGGGGAGCAAACGGG